GAUGAACGCUGGCGGCGUGCUUAACACAUGCAAGUCGAACGGAAAGGCUCCUGCUUGCAGGGGUACUCGAGUGGCGAACGGGUGAGUAACACGUGGGUGAUCUGCCCUGCACUUCGGGAUAAGCCUGGGAAACUGGGUCUAAUACCGGAUAGGACGAUGGUUUGGAUGCCAUUGUGGAAAGUUUUUUCGGUGUGGGAUGAGCUCGCGGCCUAUCAGCUUGUUGGUGGGGUAUUGGCCUACCAAGGCGUCGACGGGUAGCCGGCCUGAGAGGGUGUACGGCCACAUUGGGACUGAGAUACGGCCCAGACUCCUACGGGAGGCAGCAGUGGAGAAUAUUGCACAAUGGGCGCAAGCCUGAUGCAGCGACGCCGCGUGGGGGAUGACGGCCUUCGGGUUGUAAACUCCUUUCGCUAGGGACGAAGCGCAAGUGACGGUACCUGGAGAAGAAGCACCGGCUAACUACGUG
rnacentral:rRNA from 1 species